AGGGGAGUGAAAAAGAACCUGAAACCGUGUACGUACAAGCAGUGGGAGCACGCUUAGGCGUGUGACUGCGUACCUUUUGUAUAAUGGGUCAGCGACUUAUAUUCUGUAGCAAGGUUAACCGAAUAGGGGAGCCGAAGGGAAACCGAGUCUUAACUGGGCGUUAAGUUGCAGGGUAUAGACCCGAAACCCGGUGAUCUAGCCAUGGGCAGGUUGAAGGUUGGGUAACACUAACUGGAGGACCGAACCGACUAAUGUUGAAAAAUUAGCGGAUGACUUGUGGCUGGGGGUGAAAGGCCAAUCAAACCGGGAGAUAGCUGGUUCUCCCCGAAAGCUAUUUAGGUAGCGCCUCGUGAAUUCAUCUCCGGGGGUAGAGCACUGUUUCGGCAAGGGGGUCAUCCCGACUUACCAACCCGAUGCAAACUGCGAAUACCGGAGAAUGUUAUCACGGGAGACACACGGCGGGUGCUAACGUCCGUCGUGAAGAGGGAAACAACCCAGACCGCCAGCUAAGGUCCCAAAGUCAUGGUUAAGUGGGAAACGAUGUGGGAAGGCCCAGACAGCCAGGAUGUUGGCUUAGAAGCAGCCAUCAUUUAAAGAAAGCGUAAUAGCUCACUGGUCGAGUCGGCCUGCGCGGAAGAUGUAACGGGGCUAAACCAUGCACCGAAGCUGCGGCAGCGACGCUGAUGCGUUGUUGGGUAGGGGAGCGUUCUGUAAGCCUGUGAAGGUGUGCUGUGAGGCAUGCUGGAGGUAUCAGAAGUGCGAAUGCUGACAUAAGUAACGAUAAAGCGGGUGAAAAGCCCGCUCGCCGGAAGACCAAGGGUUCCUGUCCAACGUUAAUCGGGGCAGGGUGAGUCGACCCCUAAGGCGAGGCCGAAAGGCGUAGUCGAUGGGAAACAGGUUAAUAUUCCUGUACUUGGUGUUACUGCGAAGGGGGGACGGAGAAGGCUAUGUUGGCCGGGCGACGGUUGUCCCGGUUUAAGCGUGUAGGCUGGUUUUCCAGGCAAAUCCGGAAAAUCAAGGCUGAGGCGUGAUGACGAGGCACUACGGUGCUGAAGCAACAAAUGCCCUGCUUCCAGGAAAAGCCUCUAAGCAUCAGGUAACAUCAAAUCGUACCCCAAACCGACACAGGUGGUCAGGUAGAGAAUACCAAGGCGCUUGAGAGAACUCGGGUGAAGGAACUAGGCAAAAUGGUGCCGUAACUUCGGGAGAAGGCACGCUGAUAUGUAGGUGAAGUCCCUCGCGGAUGGAGCUGAAAUCAGUCGAAGAUACCAGCUGGCUGCAACUGUUUAUUAAAAACACAGCACUGUGCAAACACGAAAGUGGACGUAUACGGUGUGACGCCUGCCCGGUGCCGGAAGGUUAAUUGAUGGGGUCAGCGCAAGCGAAGCUCUUGAUCGAAGCCCCGGUAAACGGCGGCCGUAACUAUAACGGUCCUAAGGUAGCGAAAUUCCUUGUCGGGUAAGUUCCGACCUGCACGAAUGGCGUAAUGAUGGCCAGGCUGUCUCCACCCGAGACUCAGUGAAAUUGAACUCGCUGUGAAGAUGCAGUGUACCCGCGGCAAGACGGAAAGACCCCGUGAACCUUUACUAUAGCUUGACACUGAACAUUGAGCCUUGAUGUGUAGGAUAGGUGGGAGGCUUUGAAGUGUGG
rnacentral:rRNA from 1 species